UCCUGGCUCAGGAUGAACGCUAGCGACAGGCUUAACACAUGCAAGUCGAGGGGCAGCGAGGGCGUAGCAAUACGCCUGUCGGCGACCGGCGCACUGGUGAGUAACACGUAUGCGACCUGCCCCCUACAGGGGUAUAACCCGUAGAAAUGCGGACUAAUCCCCCAUAGUCCCGCGGGCUGCAUGGCCUGCGGGGGAAAGGGUUUCCGGUAGGGGAUGGGCAUGCGGCGCAUUAGGUUGUUGGCGGGGUAACGGCCCACCAAGCCCACGAUCAGUAGGGGUUCUGAGAGGAAAGUCCCCCACAUUGGAACUGAGACACGGUCCAAACUCCUACGGGAGGCAGCAGUGAGGAAUAUUGGUCAAUGGGCGGAAGCCUGAACCAGCCAAGUAGCGUGCAGGAUGACGGCCCUAUGGGUUGUAAACUGCUUUUAGGCGGGGGUAAAGGGGCGGACGUGUUCCGCCUUUGCAAGUACCGCCAGAAAAAGGACCGGCUAAUUCCGUG
rnacentral:rRNA from 1 species